UGGGGAGUACGGCCGCAAGGUUAAAACUCAAAUGAAUUGACGGGGGCCCGCACAAGCGGUGGAGCAUGUGGUUUAAUUCGAUGCAACGCGAAGAACCUUACCUGGUCUUGACAUCCACGGAAGUUUUCAGAGAUGAGAAUGUGCCUUCGGGAACCGUGAGACAGGUGCUGCAUGGCUGUCGUCAGCUCGUGUUGUGAAAUGUUGGGUUAAGUCCCGCAACGAGCGCAACCCUUAUCCUUUGUUGCCAGCGGUCCGGCCGGGAACUCAAAGGAGACUGCCAGUGAUAAACUGGAGGAAGGUGGGGAUGACGUCAAGUCAUCAUGGCCCUUACGACCAGGGCUACACACGUGCUACAAUGGCGCAUACAAAGAGAAGCGACCUCGCGAGAGCAAGCGGACCUCAUAAAGUGCGUCGUAGUCCGGAUUGGAGUCUGCAACUCGACUCCAUGAAGUCGGAAUCGCUAGUAAUCGUGGAUCAGAAUGCCACGGUGAAUACGUUCCCGGGCCUUGUACACACC
rnacentral:rRNA from 1 species